rnacentral:rRNA from 1 species
UAAAAAUUUAAUUUAAAAUAUUGAAGUAGUAUUAGUUAAGAUCUUGAAAUUUAAAAAAUUUGGCGGUAUUUUAGUCUAUUCAGAGGAACCUGUUUUGUAAUCGAUAGUCCACGAUGUAUCUCACUUAAACUUGUUUAUUAGUUUAUAUAUCGUUGUUAUAGAAUAUUUUUUUAGAAUAUUAAUAUUUUUAAUUUUUAAGUAAGAAAUAUAUCAGAUCAAGAUGUAGCUUAUGUUUAAGAUUAUGAUGGGUUACAAUUAUUUAAUUAUUGGAUAUAAUAAUGUAAUAAAUUAUUGAAAUUGGAUUUGAUAGUAAAUUUAUAAAGAUUAUUAAAUUGAUUCUAGCUCUAAAAUAUG